GGUUGGAAAAAAAAGCUGAUGUUUUAGACUGAUUUUUAAUUGAAGUACUUAGGAUUUGACCAAUUAGGGAUGUAGUGAAUAUUUAAACACUUAAGUGAGGGGCCAGCCUCGUGGCUGAGUGGUUAAGUUCGUGCGCUCUGCUGCAGCAGCCACGGGUUUCGCCAGUUUGGAUCCUGGGCGCGGACAUGGCCCCACUCAUCAAGCCAUGCUGAGGCGGCAUCCCACAUGCCAAAACUAGAAGGACCCACAACUAAAAACAGACAGCUAUGUACCCGGGGGGCUUUGGGGAGAAAAAGGAAAAAUAAAAUCUUAAAAAAUAAAUAAAUACUUAAGUGAAUUUGAUUUAAUGUAUAGGUUUGAUUUUUAUGCUGUGCAGACGCCUAAGAGAAGUUGAUUUACUGGAUUUCCACUAGCACAUUCAUUGAGUGCUUAGCUUGCUUCUUGCCAGGCACUGUUUUAAGUGCUUUGCAUGCACCAGCUCAGGUAAGGCUCACAACCAUUCUGAGUUUCAUACUAUUGCUACCCCACUGUCAGAUGAUAAAACUGAGGCACAAAGAGGGACGUGACUUAACCGAGGCCACAUAGCCAGUAAGUAGCAGAGCAGUCUGGCUGGGAGCCCAUGCUGCUGACCAAUGCCCUUUCAGUGGUCUGGAAGACUCCCACAGGAAGUGCUCAGGACUGGGCAGAGAUGGACCAGGACGAUUUACAGAGUGGAAAUCUGCCUCAUUAGGGGCUGUAGUAGUUGAGACAAGCAGAUACUGCAACAUGUAAAUUUGACAUAUUCAAGGGAAUUUAAUAAAUGAGGUUUAUAAACUAUAUAAAUAUGUAAGAGGAUUUAAUGUGUUAGAUUUGUGUGCUUUUGUGAUUUUAAUAUGUAAUACUUAAGAAAAUUCUAUUCCAUUUAUAGUGUUUAAAUGGGAAGUUUAAUAUGUCAAAGUAAUAUGUUCACUGAGGAUUAAGCAAAGAACAAGAAAAGUGUUUUAUUUUAACAUAAAAUUGAUAGAUUUAUAAGUGAAUUUGAGAUUUGGGUUUCACUGCUUAGUAACUAGAAUUAAAUUUUACACUCCUAAUAAAUUAAAUAUCAAUUAAAACAAAAGCCACUUUAUGGGUUCCUUUCCAUGCACAAAACGUCUCUGCUGACAUUUAAAAUCUCAACCGACAAGUGACACAGUUAUAGCCCUAUUCUGCAGAGGAGGAAACUGAGGUGAAGAGAAAUGACUUCCCAAGAUGACAGAACUGGGAAGGAGUGGACCCUGCACUCCAGACCAGACUGCCUAAGCCAGCACAUGCAACCACUUUCCUACACCACCUCCAGUGUAUGAAGAUUCCAUUUCUACAGAAAACUAGGUCAGUCAUGAAUACACACCCUGGAGGAACAUACACCAAUGUAACAACACUGGUCUUUACUGGAGUGGGAAUUAUGGAAGCGUUAUUUUACUUCUGUAACUUUUAAGACUUGACUAAAAGGAGUUCUUUAUUCCUUCACCCCAUUUUUCAACUAAUCUCUUUGCUGAUAAUUUAAAAUUAAGAGAAUUCACCUCUUUACAGUUUACUUUCUUCUGUGUUGUCAAUCAGUAUUUCGUAGUCAUUUAUUACUAUCUACCUCAUGAGCUUUUUUUUUUUUUAACCAUUCCUGCUAAUGCUUCAAACACCCCCUCUGAUGGGCAUCAUUCCUGGCUGAAACCUUUUUCUUAUACCCCUGUCCCCAGAUACCUCAUAGAAUUAGUCACUCCUUCAGUUAGCCACUUUUGUACCUAGUAUGUGCUCUUAUUAUUAAAGGUAUAACACUGACUUAUAGUUGUCUUUCUAUUCAUCUAUCUUCCCUACUAGAGUAUCUAUAGUACAUAUGUGUUAUCCCAGGGUCCAGCACAAAAUUUGGUUGGUUAAACUGAACGUAUUUUGCAGUUAUGAAAGCUGAAGUAUGCUUUACUUAGGCAAUUAUAUAGCUCUUUUCUUUCUUUAAAAGGCUUACUCUCUUUUGGUCCUUUAACUCUUUCGUCUAGCAUUGGGGUAGAUGACACAAUCAAGGCUUAAGCUGAACUAAAAGUGGAGGAAUUCAGUUAAGAAGCUGUCACAAAACUAGAAAGAUUGAAUUAUCUGACAACACAAAUCAUCUGCAAAGAGGAGUUGAGAGCGGAGCUAUGUCACACAUUCACAUCUAGGAGGGAGAGAGAAUCCUGUCUUGCUUCCCCUGGGGGUGCUCCAUGUCCUAUAGCUCUCAGACUAGCCUGGCCGCCAAAUCUGGCGUGUACUUCUCAGCGUCCAGUUUUCCACUAGAAAGAAAAAGAAGAAAAAGGCACUUAAUCUCUUAAACCAGAAGAAUAUUUUUAGAUAGCUGGGGGCCAGAAACACUUCAGUUACUAAUUAAGACCCCAGUAUAUUUGCAUUUUAUCCUGGACUGCUUCGAUGGCGGAAAUCUCGGGGCAGGGUAGCAUUUUGGAGAGUGCACCCUGCAGAGCACCUAACCCCCACACCACUGCCCCUGUGCCCUCGCCUGCCGCCGGUAGGGGACCAGCCUGGCGGCGGAGGCGGUGACACCAGGGCUGGCCCCCACGCCUUGCUCCGCUCCAAGUCUGAGGCGUGGGCGGGAAAGUGAAAAUGAAAACAGAAGCUACCCUGAUUGCCGGCUCUCGGGCUGGCGACCCGCACUGGUCACUUACACUGUGGGGCAGGAUGGGCAGAACUGGAGACCUUCUUAAGAAUUUGCCUUCUCCUCGGGUACGGGGUCUCCGCCCUACCGCGCGCGGACUAGUGCAGCUCCGCCGCCCGCUCUGGGGAGGCCCUGCGGCCCCGCCCCGCCCGGUGAGGCUCCGACCCUCCCCCGCGCCGCGCGCUGCCUGAGCCCCCGCCCGCGCUCCGCUUCCGCCCCUGAGGCCACGCCCCCUGGGGACCCCGAGCCCCGGAGGCUCCACGAGGCCUGGCUAGCGCCGGGCGGAGCCUCGACAAAAGCAAUUCCUCUUCCUCCUCUUCCUCUGCUUCCUCCGGUCCCUCCGCCCUCGCGCUGUUGUGGGUCGUCAGAUCCCGAAGACUUGGCGGAGGCUGGGCCGAGGCGAACCCAGGCUGCUUUCCCAUUAGGGCCCUAUCCGGGUUUGGGAACCCGCGGCGGCGGGUGGCCUUGGGGUUGAAGCUCCUGCCAGGCGCAUCUCUGCCGUGAGAACCUAUUGGGGAGGGUGGAUCCUGAAGAUCUGUUUGGGCGUUUCUUCCUUCUGGCUCCACCCAAAUGGAAGUGGUAGGAAGGUAACUUGUUGAAAGUAGAAGAAUGCAGCUGAAUUCCAAAGUGCCUAACCGAAGAAAAACCAGGGAGCAAGGACAUGAGAGGACUAAACAUUUUUGAGGCGAAUUCACUGUGAGUUAUAAAAUACAAAUGGCUAGAAUCAAAGUAUCACUAAUUUCAAACUGCCUUUUAAUUACAGUCCGCAGGAUGCCUGUUAAUUACAGUAGACACCUGACCUGAUACUUGCAGACCAAGUUCAGAGAGCAAUAUUUGGAGAAAUGUAGGCACGAAGCUGGAAAAUGCGUAUGGCUGUUUUCACUGUUCCCCUCGGCUAUCUGAAAGAUGUGGGGGUGAAAAUCUCCAGAAACAACGGCAAACAAACGCAUAACAUUGGAGGUUGGAUUGAUGGUUACCACAGGGGAAGCGGGGAGGAGGGAGGGCAAAAGGGGUGAUUAGGCUCACCUGUGAGGGGAUGGACUGUAAUUAGUUUUCGGGUGGUGAACAUGAUGUAAUCUACACAGAAUCGGAAAUAUAUUAUGAUGUACAUCCAAAAAUAAACAAAUAAAUGAAAAAAAAGAAAAAAAUCUCCGAGUAUAUAUCCAGACGUAAUCAAGGAUGACAUGAAGCCACUGCCGUAUGGGUUUCUCCAUGUCUGACGUCAGACUGUAUUCACAGGAAGUUGUUCAUUGGCUGGCAGAAGCCCUUGUGACCAAAGCGAAGCCACGUCAUUCAGCACAUACAGUUCGCCCACGUUCUCAGACGCUGAAGAACGUUGCCUUCACGCUUGUAGGGAGUGUAAAGGAAAAAAAACCCGCCACCAACCUGCUUCCAGUGCUUAGCAUCGUACUGGAACAAUUGCAGAAGCUACGCUUUAGCGUCUGUGAAUUUUUGCCUGACUUCAUAACUACUUAUUUCUAGUGGAACUUUGUCCUUCAGAAAUUAUUCAGCAGUAGAUGGUAGCAGAGUGAAUCUUCACAACUCUAUGAGAUUGUCAUUAUCCUCAUUUUACAGAGAGAAGAACUGAGGCUUUGAGAAGUUAAGGUAACUUACCCAAGGUCACAUAGCUAGUAAGUGACCAUUUAGUAUUGAACUCAGGUCACACAUCCCUCUAAGUUAAAAAUCAUGCAGAGUGCAGGUGCAUACAUUUUAUCUAAGUGUAUCAUGAUGUACAGUUAAAAUGGGUGCAUUUUAUGUAAGUUAUACCCCAGUAAAGUUAAUUUUAAAAAAUCAUGCAGAAUGAAUGUGAUGUUUUUUAUGAUAAAACUCAUCAAGGAAACAGCAUUAUGAUUUCACACAUGACAGUUUCUGAGGAAAAAGAGAUGGAGGUGAAAUAUAUGUACAUGUUAUUAACAUAACCACUGAAAGACUGGUGACACCACAGUCAAGGCUUGUUCAUUCAGGUCACUUUCCCAAACUUCAGAUACAGAUAUAAAGAAAUAUUAACCAGGAUGGGUUAGGGGCAUGCAAAUCUGUUGUGGAAAUCAACCAAAGGAACACAAAAUUAUAAAAGACAUCUGAAGUCUGUGAUAUCAAACAUAUCUAACAAAAAUAUGCGCAAGUACAGAGCAUUAAAAAGUUAGGUACUUUUGCUAGUGGUAUGCAUUAAAGUCACAUUUUCUGUGUGCAAUAUACUAUAUAUUAUACUAAGCAUUGUGAUUAUAAGCUGUGCAGCAGAAUUUACACAUUUUUAAUUUCUAUUAAAAUUUAUUUGAAUAGUUUGUCAAAACAAGCAAGGCACCAGUUGUUGGUGCUUUUGUGUUUGAAGGCUGUGUUUGGCUAUUUAAAAAGAAUACAUUGACUCCUUUUUCAUUUUAUUUUAUUUUAUUUAUUUUUUUUUAAAAGAUUUUAUUUUUUCCUUUUUCUCCCCAAAGCCCCCUGGUACAUAGUUGUAUAUUCUUCGUUGUGGGUCCUUCUAGUUGUGGCAUGUGGGACGCCACCUCAGCGUGGUUUGAUGAGCAGUGCCAUGUCCACGCCCAGGAUUCGACCCAACGAAACACUGGGCCGCCUGCAGGGGAGCGCAUGAACUUAACCACUCGGCCACGGGGCCAGCCCCUCCUUUUUCAUUUUAUGAUGUUCCAUUUUGAAGUUUCACCAGUUUCAGAAACAUUUUGAAUUUAAGGCUUUAAUUAAAAUUUAUGAAUCAAAUAUUUUGUGAAUUGGGUAUUCUGAACAAUCAUGGUUGCCUGUACGUGUGUAGAAACAGGAUGAAAAAGAGCCCAGUUCUUUCCACAAGUGGCAAAACUGACUUUCUUAGGAUGCUUAAACCGAUAGUUGUUGUACCCACCUAAUACAGGUACGUCUGUAUUGGUCAAUAUAGCAGCUCCAAAAAUGACAAACUCCAUGAGGCAUCAGAAUAGGAUAUGACCAAUGAGAUUUCACUGUUAGAAAUUCUGCACGACCUUAUGUUUUCCAAGAGAAUAUUUUCUUCAAUGGCAAUCAUGAAGACAGUGACAUACCUUGAGUGAAAAAGAAAAUGGUUGUGAGAGAAAGCUUGAGUCUUAGGGCAAUUUGAUGAGUAUACAUACAACCCUUCAUACUGACCCAGCGCUCCCCAUCAGCAGAGUUCUUUGCAAGGUUGAGGAUAACAACAGAAAACCACCGCUCUUAGUAAUGAGAUCUGACCAGCAUGGCUGGGGAACAGCACAGAGCCUGAGACCAGAUCUCUGUGUGAACACCUAAACUUCCUGCUGGUAGUUAUUCUCUUUACCAGUUUGCUUCUUUAACAUUUGUUUAAUAUUAGUGCAGCUUGCUUGGCAAUGAAAGCAGCUGUGUCUUCUCAGACAUGCAUAAGACUAUAAUUAACAGACUACUAAAAAUGUUUCCACUGCAACUAAUUUUUAGUAUGGCUUUUCUUAAUUUAUUCAUAGAAUAUAAUGAUUAAUUCCAGAAAUGUACAAUUUACUAGAAUCCGUUCUGAACAGGUGGAAGCAACUUUAAUACAUGGAUGUGUUAUCUAUGAUAAGUGCACAUUUUUUUUCCUGUCCAGUAGCAUAUCACCUUGAGUGUCUCUAUCUGCAUGUUAAAAAUUGAGAUGAAAUUUAAAAACUAUACUUCAAAUUCUUGAGAUUCUUUUUGGCAAAAUAUCUUAAGAACUUUAAAAAAGUUUAUGACCCUUGAUCCAGUAAUUGCCCUCCUAGUAAUCUAUCCAGAGAAAAUAGAAAUCAAAGCAAAGGUUUUUAUAUAAAAGAUGUCCACUGCACAGGGCUGGCCCAGUGGCAUAGUGAUUAAGUUCAUGCACUCUGCUUCAGCAGCCCAGGGUUUGUGGGUUCAGAUCCCAGGCACAGACCUACACACUGCUCCUCAAGCCAUGCUGAGGCAGCAUCCCAUAUAUAAAAUGGAGGAAGACUGACACAGAUGUUAGCUCAGGGCCAAUCUUCCUCACACACACACAAAAAGAUGUUUACUGCAGUGUCAUGUAUAAUGACAAAGACUGGAAAAUCCAGUCUAAGUCAACAAUAGUAAAAUCUUUAAAUAAAUUGAUAUAUUAAUUUAUGGUUAUGUUUAAAUAUGGUCAUUUAAAAUUUAUGGAAAUUUAACAAUGUGUUUCAAGUUCAUUUGAUCACAUAGUUGUGUCAUCGUAACUUUGUAAAAACAAAUGCAUAUGCAUAGAAAAAUGACUAGAAGCAACUACAUAAAAACGUUAACUGUAGUUAUUGCUGAGUAGUAGGAUUAUGGGCCACUUAAAUUUUCUUUGAACUUUUAAAUUUUUUAAAAUUCUCUAUAAUGAACAUUUUUUUAUAGUCAGGAAAAUAAUAAAUGCUACUUUUUAAAACAAAAACAAAAUUCUUGGAGGGUUUAAUAAACACUUGACUUCUUGAUUCAUAACUAGCAGAAUGAGAUAUUUAUGCUUAUGCAUGGCAAAUAGGCUAGAAAUAACCCCAAACAAUGACUACUUUAGAAAUCAACCAGUCUCACUCGGCCUUGUCCUUUCUUUCAUUCUUAUCCUCAACUAGUUGUUAAAAAUGUAUCUUAUGGUUGAAAGCCUAUUUCUACUAAAGUAAAAUAGUAUAAAAUGAAUUAAGUCUAAAAGCAUACACCUGCGUAAACCUAAAGAGGUAACGUAAUAAAAAAAGAUUAGUAACACAAGCCCCCAAACAAAUGUUAUGUAUAAUAACAUGUUUCAUUCUUUCCCAAAAGCCUAAGAGCCCCAGGCCCUGUGCUAGAUGCUGUAGAAGUACCAUAACUGAGGGUUUUUUCUACUAAAACAUUCAUGUACGUAUAUAUUUAAACAUGUCCUAGGAAAAGGUCCGGAAGCCUACACCUUGAUGUCAAGGUAUUAAGUUUCUAGGUUGGGAGAAUUAUAAAUGUUUUCAGGACAUUUUUGCUUGUCAAUAUUUUCGGAUUGUUCUGUAAUGUGCAAACAUAGCCUUUUGUAAAAAAAAAAAAAAUGUUUUAAUAUCAUUUUGACCAAAAAAGGCUACCCAGAGCUGUCAGAAUUAGUCUCUUUGAGACCUUUCUAAUUCGCAAUUAGGAAAACAAAUUACCAAUUACUCAUAGUACAAAGCUUUGACAGACUAAAUAAUAUAGCUUUAUAUUUGGUAUCUGCCUAAUACUUGGGAGGAAAAAAAUAAGUCACUUGAACUCAUCUAUGAAGCAAUUUAGGAAAUCCUCUUGGAAAACUCAGUUGUGGAACAGCAAUUUAAAUAGAUUAAAUAAACAUCUUCCAUUGGCAGUUAUGUCAAUGGAGUUGUACACUGAUGAAAGAUUUAAAACAAGACAGGUACUCCAAUAGGAAAUUUAAAAAACAAAUGAAAGAAAUGCAUAUGGAAACAGACCAGUUUCCUAAAAGAACAGCAUCAAGUUUUAAUAACUUGUCUUUAAAUAAAAACACCUGGGACAUUUUUGCACGUCAGAGGUUUUUGAGAUGGAACAUUACCAGUGGAUUGGUAACAUUUUACAGACUAUAUUAGCACAGUGUUUUACAUAAAGUGGAUGUUCAGUAUCUUCUUAUAAAAAUUUAUUUUGGUUCAAACUUACACAGUAGAAAAUGAUUCAUAAGUUUAAUUUACAAAGUGUUUGAUUAUUUGCUGGACAAAAUAUACGGUUCUAAAUUUUCACCCUAAAUUUGAGCAUCUGGAGGAAAAGGUUUCAAUUAAUUUAAGUACACAUCUAAUAAAAUGAAACAAAGCCAUCUGACUGAGGCAAUAUGAUGCACUAAAAAGCACUUUGAACACUGGAAUUUAUUUCCAACAUUGCAGCUAUCUUGUAACCUUGGGGUUCAUUUUCUUCUACUGUAAAAUAAAGUGAUUAAACAGGAUCAUGUCUCUCCAAGAUACUUUAGGUUUUAAAAGUCUGUGAUCUGAAAACAAACAUGGGAAGAUUCUAAAAGGUAGAGAGAAGGUAGACCAAGUAGGGAUCUCAAGACCCAAAGCACAAGACAGGAGUGAGUCCUCUGGGUUGUCUUUCUGCCUCAUAUAUCCUAGAUUUGGAGCUGAAGAACCUGGCAACUAGCACAAGUGAAGGAAAGCCCCAACAAAAGCCUACUCUCUUUAGCCAAGGACCUGGAAAAGGGCAGCCUAGUAAGACAGAAAACCUUUAGGCAAUAACUGCUAUACUCCAGCCAAACCUGAUGGAAAAGACUGUGGCCCCAACCCCACCCACAUCAAUAGAGGACAAGUCAAGAGCUCAGACUUAGCACUUUAGCUAGCCUCUAAUGAAGUGCCCCAACUCUCCUGCCACUGCCACCACCAUCAGCGUGGUGUCAGAGGAAGCCUAGUGGAGAGUCUGGACUUUCAUGACCGCCUGGUAGUAAUGAGGCCGGAGGUUACUCACCCCACCUCUGGUGUCAGUGAGGUCCACAUUGGGGGCAGUAUUAAGACACUUUUACCCCUCCUACCAGGGAAGUAUCAGUGGAGGCCUAGUGAAGACCUGGAACUCCCAUCACCACCUAUAAGUAAUGAAAAGCAGCCCCAACUCAAAUGCCAACAGAGGCUGAGUAGAGACUGAGAGAGUCCAGCAUCCUACUGGACUUCUACCCACGCUGGCAAUAAUGAGGUGGCCACUCCCUCACCCCCACUCUUCUGCUGGAGCAGUGUCAGAGGAAACCAGCUACAACAGAACGUUUAAAUAAGAUCCAUAUGGUCUCCUUAGAAGCACAAAAGUUUUUAAUUUUGAUGAAGUCCAAUUUACCUAUUUUUUCUUUUGCUGUUCCUGAUUUUGGUGUCACAUCUAAGAAGGCUUUGCCAAAUUCAAGAUCAUGAAGAUUUACUUCUAUGCUUUCUUAUAAGAGUUUUGUAGUUUUCAUUCUUACAUUUAGGUCUUUGAUCCAUUUUGAGCUAAUUUUUGUAUAUGGUGUAAGAUAAGGGUCCAAGUUCAUUCUUUUGCCUGUGGCUAUCCAGUUGUCCCAGCAUUCACUGAAAAGAAUAUUCUUCCCCAUUGAAUGGUCUUGGCACCCUUAUCAAAAAUCAAUUGACCGUAGAUGUAUGAGUUUAUUUCUGGACUCUCAACUCUGUUCUAUUGGUCUGUCUGUCUAUCCUUGUGCCAGUACCACACUGUCUUGAUUACUGCUGCUUUGUAGUAAGUUUUGAAAUCAGGAAGUGUGAGUUCCCCAACUUUAUUCUAUUUUUUCAGGAUUAAUUUGGUUAUUCUGGGUCCCUUGCAAUUCUACAUGAAAGUUAGAAUCAGCUCGUAAAUUUCUACACAGAAGUCAGUGGAAAUUCUGAUAGGGAUUAAGUUGAAUCUGUAGGUCAGUUUCAAGAGUAUUGCAUCUUAGCAAUGUUAAGUCUUCUGACCCAAGAAUGUGAAUUUUUCCAUUCCCUUAGAUCUCCUUUAAUUUCUUUCAACAAUGUUUUAUAGUUUUCAGAGUAGAAGUUUUGACCUUCUUUUGUUAAAUUUAUCCCUAAGUAUUUUAUUCUUUUUGAUGCUAUUCUUAAUGGAAUUUUCAUAAUUUCAUUUUUCGAUUGUUCAUUGCAAUUGUAUAAAACUACAAUUAAUUUUUGUAUAUCAAUCUUGUGUCCUAUAACCUUGUGAAGUUGUUUUCUAGUUCUAAUAGUUUUUAGUGGAUUCCUGAGGAUUUUCUCUAUAAAAGAUCAUGUCAUUUGUGAAUAGAGAUAGUUUUGCGUCUUCCUUUCCAAUCUAAAUGCCUUUUAUUUCUUUAUCUUAACUAAUUGCCCUGAACGGAAUCUCUCAUACAGUGUUGAAUAGAACUGGUGAGAGUGGACAUUUUUGUCUUAUUCUUGAUCACAGGGGAAAAGCAUCCAGUCUUUCAUCAUUAAGUGUGAUGUUAAGAUGUGGGUUUUUGUAGAUGCCCUUUAUCAAGUUGAGGAAGUUUUCUUCUUUUUUUUUUUAAGAUUGGCACCUGAGCUAACAACUGUUGCCAAUCUUCUUUUUUUUUGCUUUUUGCUUUUUCUCCCCAAAUCCCCCCAGUAUAUAGUUGUAUAUUUUAGUUGUGGGUCGUUCUAGUUGUGGUACGUGGGACGCCGCCUCAUCAUGGCCUGAUGAGCGGUGCCAUGUCUGCGCCCAGGAUCCGAACCAUGGAAACCCUGGGCCGCUGUAGCGGAGCACGCGAUCUUAACCACUCAGCCACAGGGCGGCCCGAGGAAGUUUUCUUCUAUUCCUAGUUUGCUGAGUGUUUUUAUGGUAAAAGAGUGUUGG
ensembl:lncRNA